UGGGGGAUAUUGCACAAUGGGGGGAACCCUGAUGCAGCGACGCCGCGUGAGGGAAGAAGGUUUUCGGAUUGUAAACCUCUGUUCUUGGUGACGAAGAUGACGGUAGCCAAGGAGGAAGCCACGGCUAACUACGUGCCAGCAGCCGCGGUAAUACGUAGGUGGCAAGCGUUGUCCGGAAUUACUGGGUGUAAAGGGAGCGUAGGCGGGAAGAUAAGUUGGACGUUUAAACUAUCGGCUCAACCGGUAGUCGCGUUCAAAACUGUUUUUCUUGAGUGAAGUAGAGGUAAGCGGAAUUCCUAGUGUAGCGGUGAAAUGCGUAAAUAUUAGGAGGAACACCAGUGGCGAAGGCGGCUUACUGGGCUUUAACUGACGCUGAGGCUCGAAAGCGUGGGUAGCAAACA
rnacentral:rRNA from 1 species